rnacentral:lncRNA from 1 species
AGGCUCUUCGUGUGCACACAGGUGCCGACACCGUUUCUACCAGAAGGCCUUCCCUGACGUAAGAGAAGUUGGUGUUCCAAAGCUCUCUACCAGGACGCUCCGGUGCUGGUCAUAUGUUGGCCAGUGCGCCAGAUACAGAGACAUCUACAAACUGGAUGGGCCAGGAGGUGACCGGGGCCACCCUGGGAAUCGUCAGUGUGGGCAGCAGUGGCUAUAAGGCAGCUCAGAGAGCCAGAGCGUUGGACACGAGGAUUCUCUACCGCAGCAGGAGAUGCAGGGGCCUCCCACUGCCUGUGGACCACAUUCGCAGCUGGUGAGAAACUCGUGGAGGCCUGAAGCAGGUGCCUGUGCUCUAACUUGGACUGGGACCUACUUCCCUUCAUCGAUGUCCUGUUGUCACCGAGCUAUGUCUGAUGGACCAUCACACUUGUACCAGGCUCUGGGGGUUCAAGGGACAAGCAGCUCCUGGCCUCAGGGAGCCCCAGUGUGGUAUGAAAUUCUUCAGGCCCCACGGCCUGCCCCCAGAGACCCCAGACAUGCCCACAGGGUUCCCAUGGGUCCUG